rnacentral:rRNA from 1 species
CUGCCUACCGGAUGUUAUAUUGAGGGGCCGCAKUAUAUUGACUGUGCAAAGGUAGCAUAAUCAUUAGUCUUUUGAUUGAAGGCUGGAAUGAAAGGUUUGACGAGAUAAUGACUGUCUUAUAUAUUAAAAUUUAAUUUCAUUUUUAAGUAAAAAAGCUUAAAKUAUAAUAAGGGACGAUAAGACCCUAUAGAACUUUAUAUGAGUUAUUUGAAUCAAAUAAUUAGUAUUUUACUGGGGCGGUUAGGAAAGAAGAAUAAACUUUUCUUGAUUUUAACAUUUUAUUUGGUAAAAGGAUCUUUUUAUUAAGGAUUAAAAAAUAAGUUACCUUAGGGAUAACAGCUUAAUUUUCUUUUAGAGUUCUGAUCGACAAGGAAUAUUGAGACCUCGAUGUUGGAUUAGGAUAACUAUAGGGCGCAGUAGUUUUACUAGUAAGUCUGUUC